CCUACGGGAGGCAGCAGUGGGGAAUUUUGGACAAUGGGGGCAACCCUGAUCCAGCCAUUCCGCGUGAGUGAAGAAGGCCUUCGGGUUGUAAAGCUCUUUCGCAAGGGAAGAAAACUUAUGAUCGAAUAAAUCAUGAGGUUGACGGUACCUUGAUAAGAAGCACCGGCUAACUACGUGCCAGCAGCCGCGGUAAUACGUAGGGUGCGAGCGUUAAUCGGAAUUACUGGGCGUAAAGCGUGCGCAGGCGGUUUUGUAAGUCGGAUGUGAAAUCCCCGGGCUCAACCUGGGAACUGCGUUCGAAACUGCAAGGCUAGAGUGUGUCAGAGGGGGGUAGAAUUCCACGUGUAGCAGUGAAAUGCGUAGAGAUGUGGAGGAAUACCAAUGGCGAAGGCAGCCCCCUGGGAUAACACUGACGCUCAUGCACGAAAGCGUGGGGAGCAAACAGGAUUAGAUACCCUGGUAGUCCACGCCCUAAACGAUGUCAACUAGUUGUUGGUAGAGUAAAAUCUAUGAGUAACGUAGCUAACGCGUGAAGUUGACCGCCUGGGGAGUACGGUCGCAAGUNUUAAACUUCAAAUGAAUUGACGGNNGAGAGNGCGAGGACGACGACGAGGGAGGAGG
rnacentral:rRNA from 1 species